UGGGCUGACUUGCCAAGUCAGACUAAGAGGAGUUUAUAUGGUCGUUCUGAGGACUUAGCAUAAAGCAUCUGGACAUGCAAGACAUCGGUACGUAAACACGAUAUGCCCUGAUGUUUUAGUUAUUUUGGCCUGCAGCAGCGAAGAACAUUUUAAAGGCCGGAUCCUUUGUAGUGCUGAAUACCCUCAACACCAGUUGUACUCGUCAGAACCCACCGUGCUCGGCGCCUUCCCAUGAGGUGCCUCGGGUAGAGCCCCAUGCUGCCUGCCAUCCCAGCCAGCAGCCGCCACCACCCUGGGGGUGGAAAGUACGAGGGCAACUUGACGCCAUUGAGAACCACAAGACAUUCCUUGUAUGUGAAAUUUCUGCAGAUUCAAGAUUUCUACAUAGCCGUGCUGCUGCUUACUUACAGAAACAUGUUUUCACAGCUUAAAUGCAUUAACCCCUCGUGGGCCUUAGAUUUCUGCGUAGGAUUUGACAUGACAUGUCUUUGAGAGAUCUUCAGGACAGGAAGACGAAACACCACUCCUGGAAAUUAAAAAAUAACUGAAUUUAGAUCAAACACUUCUGGAAAGUCUGGCUUUUGCUCUAAAAGGUUAAUCAGUAUUUGGAAUUUUUUUUUGCCGUGGGAGGUUCCUUGUGUAAUUACUGAAAAGCAAGAUCAAAAACCAGCAUCAUCUUUUGAGUGCCAAUGUCACACGCCUGGACAAAAACAAGCUAGAUCAGCCCUAAUGAUAUUUGCUCCUGGACACACUGCAGAAUCCCUGGCUGUGCUUAGGAUAGGAAGGAAUUUCCUCAUGUGGGGAUGCCAGGAUGGUGUCACCCUGGUGCCACAGCAAACUAUCAAAUCCCAAGUGGGAAGCUGCGUUUCCGCUGCUCAAGCACCUCUACUAUUCAGUGAAAUUGCCUUUUCAAUGGGAAUUUCUGCCCUCUCCAGCAGUGCUGCUGCACCCAAACCAUACACAAGCAGGAAGGCAUGGCAAGUAUCAAGGCUGAGGCAUGGAGUGCCUGCUGAGUAUGGGGCACACAGUAAGUGGCUUUAGGAUUUUCUUUCUGUCCUGUCCCUGUUGCACGUGACUCCAAUGCUACUCUGGGGUCUGUGUGAGCCGGUAGGGAGCCCUUGCUCCUCCCAGUCUGUUCAGGCUUUCAGGGGUUCAUGCUGCUUUUGUCCCAGUUUCAUGUCAGUAGGGCACUUGCUGGGUCUAGGUACAGCACACCCUGCUCAGACUCCAUCCCUGCACUGCCAUGGACUUGCAUCCACGCCUUCAGUUAACCAAGCCUCAUCUGCAACCUGUUGCUCCUGCCCUACAAUGCUGCUUAAAUUUAGUUUAAAAUCUGGCCAUUUUACUGCUGCAUCCCACAUUCCUCACAGACAGUAGCAAGCUAAUAACAACGUGCUGAUGCCAUCGUAGCCAUCACAGGCUGGAGCUGGCAUGCAUAGUCUUGUCUCGUAAACCUCUUUGUCCCGUGAGAGAUUUGAGAAUUUAAUACACAUUCGGUCUGUACCUCCUUAUUUGAGGCUGGCCAGUCUGAAUCACUUUUGAUAAACUCUAAGCAGGAAUUUCAAACAUAGUUAUGUUCCUAUCAGUUUAAUUAAAGUAGAUGACUGGGUAGAGAAACCCUGUGAAAUGUUCCCAUUGAGGAGAAGGCUGUGCUGGGUGUGCCCCCGAGGAACCAUCAGGGAAUCUGCACAGGGCCAUGGCUGUUAUCAUGGGGCACUGAGGAACUUUACUUGAAGCUCUGUCUUGCACUGCCUUAUGAGGAUGCGACACUGUGUGGAUAUGAGAAGCUGGAAAGGACAGGCAUGGCAUGGAGUUUACUUUGCCAACAUUGAAAGUGCUGGGAGCUACUGAACUGGACAGCGGCUUCAAAUGCCAGUGACCUCCGGGAGCUGGAAGUGAACGUUGUAAUUGAUAUAAGGAUGGAAGCUGCUGCACUACAAAGUGGCAUUUUGGAUACUGUGGGAACAGGUGAUGUGAAGCAUCCUCGGCGAGAUCUGUUUCCCUCCACUCUUUUGACUCCUGUCAGAGAACUGGCAUCAAACAGAAGAUCUAUUUUUCGCCCUGCUCUGGUUGUCUGCAGCAUCUGGAUAAGCUGGAGACAGCAUUUGCUAAACUGAAAAGUAUUUAGGGAGAAGAAGUUCUCUGUCUGUACCUCGGCUCUCAGCAGCUGGACCAUUUAUGGAUGCUCUGUAAGGGCAGUGUAUGAUGACUUGCAGCAUUCCUCCAUGAGAAGCUUUUGUGGGAUUUCUGUCUUAUCAUUAGCACGUUAUAAAAAUGUCAACUAUUUCCAAACCUUUCAAGUUUCAUUGGAAGGACUACUCUGAAUUUCAGCCCUGAAGUCGGUUGAUGUGCGGUUUGAUCAUCUGUUCCUCCUCUCGUACAGAUGCUCUCAAUGUGGACAGCAGAGCAGCGCUGUCACAGCAGAUUAAUGGCAGAAUGCAGCACUGCUUGUGGAAGCAGAGUAACUAAAGACCAACAGUGAUGUUGUACCAUCUGAAUAAACCCUGAAAUUAGAAUAAUUUUUCUCAAUGUUUCGGCCUCAUAAGUACAAAGUAAUAACCCUGUCAGGGGUAAUAUUUGCUGCUGUCUCCUGUGGAUGCAUUGGGAAUUCGCUGCAGCCUCCUGGGCAGAAGGUGGGUGUGUUGAUGGUGGGACACUGUACUAAAGGGAAAUGUACACAAGCCCCUUGGUCACAGUGCAGGAUGGAACUACUGGGAAGAUCAGCGCUGCUUUGAACGUGGCAUUUGGUUUGGUUUCCUCACAGAAAGGACAAUGGAAAAAUGGGGAAUGUAUAUAUAUUUGUACAGCAGGCAAAAUGUGUUGUGGACUUCGGUAGGAGAUGGCAGUCGGUAUGUGAAAUCCAGACCUGAGGCAAAUACCAAAUGGUGGAUGGUGAAGAAAGCCUCGCUGAGUGCUCAUUGCCUCAGUACAAAUUGGACGAGGGCAAAACCUCAGCGAAGGACGAGACUUAACAAUAUUCCUGUAAACCUCACAAAAAUAGGAGUAAUCCUGUAGCAUUGCCAGGCUGG
ensembl:lncRNA